GUAGUCAUAUGCUUGUCUCUAGGGCAAGUCUGGUGCCAGCAGCCGCGGUAAUUCCAGCUCCAAUAGCGUAUAUUAAAGUUGUUGAGGUUAAAAGGCUCGUAGUUGAACCUUGGGCCUAGCCGGCCGGUCCGCCUCACCGCGUGCACUGGCUCGGUUGGGCCUUUCCUUCUGGAGAACCCCAUGCCCUUCACUGGGUGUGGUGGGGAACCAGGACUUUUACUCUGAACAAAUUAGAUCGCUUAAAGAAGGCCUAUGCUCGAAUAUAUUAGCAUGGAAUAAUAGAAUAGGACGUGUGGUUCUAUUUUGUUGGUUUCUAGGACCGCCGUAAUGAUUAAUAGGGACAGUCGGGGGCAUCAGUAUUCAAUUGUCAGAGGUGAAAUUCUUGGAUUUAUUGAAGACUAACGUACUGCGAAAGCAUGCUCCCGGGCCGCCAUGAAUCAGGAACGGGAAUUCGAUUAUCGAAGACGAUCAGGAUACCGUCGUAGCUCUUAACCAUAAACCUAUGCCGAUUAGGGAUCGGACCCUGUU
rnacentral:rRNA from 1 species